rnacentral:rRNA from 1 species
AGAGUUUGAUCCUGGCUCAGGACGAACGCUGGCGGCGUGCUUAACACAUGCAAGUCGAACGAGAAUCUACUGAAAGAGUUUUCGGACAAUGGAUGUAGAGGAAAGUGGCGGACGGGUGAGUAACGCGUGAGGAACCUGCCUUGAAGAGGGGGACAACAGUUGGAAACGACUGCUAAUACCGCAUGACGCAUAGAGGUCGCAUGAUCUUUAUGCCAAAGAUUUAUCGCUUCAAGAUGGCCUCGCGUCUGAUUAGCUGGUUGGCGGGGUAACGGCCCACCAAGGCGACGAUCAGUAGCCGGACUGAGAGGUUGAACGGCCACAUUGGGACUGAGAUACGGCCCAGACUCCUACGGGAGGCAGCAGUGGGGAAUAUUGGGCAAUGGGCGCAAGCCUGACCCAGCAACGCCGCGUGAAGGAAGAAGGCUUUCGGGUUGUAAACUUCUUUUAAGAGGGAAGAGCAGAAGACGGUACCUCUAGAAUAAGCCACGGCUAACUACGUGCCAGCAGCCGCGGUAAUACGUAGGUGGCAAGCGUUGUCCGGAUUUACUGGGUGUAAAGGGCGUGCAGCCGGGUCUGCAAGUCAGAUGUGAAAUCCAUGGGCUCAACCCAUGAACUGCAUUUGAAACUGUGGAUCUUGAGUGUCGGAGGGGCAAUCGGAAUUCCUAGUGUAGCGGUGAAAUGCGUAGAUAUUAGGAGGAACACCAGUGGCGAAGGCGGAUUGCUGGACGAUAACUGACGGUGAGGCGCGAAAGUGUGGGGAGCAAACAGGAUUAGAUACCCUGGUAGUCCACACUGUAAACGAUGAAUACUAGGUGUGCGGGGACUGACCCCCUGCGUGCCGCAGUAAACACAAUAAGUAUUCCACCUGGGGAGUACGAUCGCAAGGUUGAAACUCAAAGGAAUUGACGGGGGCCCGCACAAGCGGUGGAUUAUGUGGUUUAAUUCGAAGCAACGCGAAGAACCUUACCAGGGUUUGACAUCCUGCUAACGAAGUAGAGAUACAUUAGGUGCCCUUCGGGGAAAGCAGAGACAGGUGGUGCAUGGUUGUCGUCAGCUCGUGUCGUGAGAUGUUGGGUUAAGU